rnacentral:ribozyme from 16 species
AGAGAUAAAAGAUGAGAGAGAAAUUGGGGUAUCGCUUGGGAUGAAUACUGGCAAUUCUAUUGAUUUUGCCUUUUUCUUUCCAUUUUUACUAUCUCCUUCAC